GAGCUUAGAGAAUAACGUAUCUGGGCCCCCUUUUUAUAGGUGGAGGGAGCAACGGAUUGAUAGCGAUGUUUGUAACCGCCUAGUAAUGGGCCGCUCGGGGCCAAGAGGAGCUUAUUAUGAAGAGUAAUGGGGUGGAGUCAUGGCUAUCACCAUGGCUCGCCACGUGGAGCCUGUUGUGGAGAGUGGAGCAGUGUCCAUUGUCGUGACUC
rnacentral:lncRNA from 1 species